AUAAGUGAAUAGUGAAUCUGGCGGCUCAACCGUACAGGCUAUUAUUCAAACUGUAUAACUCGAGAAUGGUAGAGGUAACUGGAAUUUCUUGUGUAGGAGUGAAAUCCGUAGAUAUAAGAAGGAACACCAAUGGCGUAGGCAGGUUACUGGGCUAUCUCUGACACUGAGGCACGAAAGCGUGGGGAGCGAACCGGAUUAGAUACCCGGGUAGUCCACGCCGUAAACGAUGGAUACUA
rnacentral:rRNA from 1 species